CCUACGUGAGGCAGCAGUGGGGAAUAUUGGGCAAUGGGCGCAAGCCUGACCCAGCAACGCCGCGUGAAGGAAGAAGGCUUUCGGGUUGUAAACUUCUUUUCUCAGGGACGAAGCAAGUGACGGUACCUGAGGAAUAAGCCACGGCUAACUACGUGCCAGCAGCCGCGGUAAUACGGAGGUGGCAAGCGUUAUCCGGAUUUACUGGGUGUAAAGGGCGUGUAGGCGGGAAAGCAAGUCAGAUGUGAAAACCAUGGGCUCAACCUGUGGCCUGCAUUUGAAACUGUUUUUCUUGAGUACUGGAGAGGCAGACGGAAUUCCUAGUGUAGCGGUGAAAUGCGUAGAUAUUAGGAGGAACACCAGUGGCGAAGGCGGUCUGCUGGACUGCAACUGACGCUGAGGCGCGAAAGCGUGGGGAGCAAACAGGAUUAGAUACCCCAGUAGUC
rnacentral:rRNA from 1 species